rnacentral:rRNA from 1 species
GUUUGAUCCUGGCUCAGAUUGAACGCUGGCGGCAUGCUUUACACAUGCAAGUCGAACGGUAACAGGCCGCAAGGUGCUGACGAGUGGCGAACGGGUGAGUAAUGCAUCGGAACGUGCCCAGUCGUGGGGGAUAACUGCUCGAAAGAGCAGCUAAUACCGCAUACGAUCUAUGGAUGAAAGCGGGGGACCGUAAGGCCUCGCGCGAUUGGAGCGGCCGAUGUCAGAUUAGGUAGUUGGUGGGGUAAAGGCUCACCAAGCCAACGAUCUGUAGCUGGUCUGAGAGGACGACCAGCCACACUGGGACUGAGACACGGCCCAGACUCCUACGGGAGGCAGCAGUGGGGAAUUUUGGACAAUGGGGGCAACCCUGAUCCAGCAAUGCCGCGUGCAGGAAGAAGGCCUUCGGGUUGUAAACUGCUUUUGUACGGAACGAAACGGUCUGGGUUAAUACCCUGGGCUAAUGACGGUACCGUAAGAAUAAGCACCGGCUAACUACGUGCCAGCAGCCGCGGUAAUACGUAGGGUGCGAGCGUUAAUCGGAAUUACUGGGCGUAAAGCGUGCGCAGGCGGUUUUGUAAGACAGGCGUGAAAUCCCCGGGCUCAACCUGGGAAUGGCGCUUGUGACUGCAAAGCUGGAGUGCGGCAGAGGGGGAUGGAAUUCCGCGUGUAGCAGUGAAAUGCGUAGAUAUGCGGAGGAACACCGAUGGCGAACGCAAUCCCCUGGGCCUGCACUGACGCUCAUGCACGAAAGCGUGGGGAGCAAACAGGA